UACGUAGGUGGCAAGCGUUGUCCGGAAUUACUGGGUGUAAAGGGCGUGUAGGCGGGAAUGUAAGUCAGAUGUGAAAUUCCGGGGCUCAACCCCGGCGCUGCAUCUGAAACUAUGUUUCUUGAGUGCUGGAGAGGAAAGCGGAAUUCCUAGUGUAGCGGUGAAAUGCGUAGAUAUUAGGAGGAACACCAGUGGCGAAGGCGGCUUUCUGGACAGUAACUGACGCUGAGGCGCGAAAGCGUGGGGAGCAAACAGGAUUAGAUACCCGCGUAGUCC
rnacentral:rRNA from 1 species